AAUGAACGCUGGCGGCAGGCCUAACACAUGCAAGUCGAGCGUGCGGCGGACGGGUGAGUAACGUAUGGGGCUUGCCCGAUAGCGGGGAUUAACUACUGGAAACGGUGGCUAUUACCGCAUACCAUUCGCUAACCAAUAUGGGAGUAGCUAGUAGGUGGGGUAACGGCUCACCUAGGCGACGAUCUCUAGCUGGUCUGAGAGGAUAAUAGGCCACACGGGUGCUGAGACACGGCCCAGACUCCUACGGAGGCAGCAGUGGGGAAUAUUGCGCAAUGGGCGCAAGCCUGAUGCAGCCAUGCGGCGUGUAUGAAGAAGGCCUUAGGGUUGUAAAGUACUGUCAGCGGGGAGGCGUUACCCGAAGAGGAAGCACCGGCUAACUCCGUGCCAGCAGCCGCGGUAAUUC
rnacentral:rRNA from 1 species